GCGUAGGGUACGUAGGUGGUGAAUAACACUGAAAAUAAAAAACUGGGUAAUCAUCCUUUAAGUUUUCUUUUUGAUUUCACUAGAAUUUAGAUAGGACGAUGGAACUCAUUAUGUAACGGUGAUGUGUAUAUAUAAUGAGGACUGACAAUGGUGAAAACAAUCUUCCAUUAAGUAUUGACACUAAGGUACGAAGGCAUGGGUAUAAAGCGGAUUAGAUACCCGCGUAGUCCAUGCAAUAACGCUGAACAUUCAAUGUAGGAAUCAUGUGCCCACCUACAAUAAAGUGAGGGGAAGUCUUGGUGUUUGAGCUAACGCGUUAAAUGUUCCGCUGGGAAGUAAAGUCGCAAGACGAAACUCAAAAGAAUUGACGGUGAUUAAACAGGG
rnacentral:rRNA from 1 species